GGAGAAAAGCAGGGGAUCGCAAGACCUUGCGCUCAUUGAGCGGCCGAUGCCUGAUUAGCUAGUUGGUGAGGUAAAGGCUUACCACGGCGACGAUCAGUAGCUGGUCUGAGAGGACGACCAGCCACACUGGGACUGAGACACGGCCCAGACUCCUACGGGAGGCAGCAGUGGGGGAUUUUGGACAAUGGGGGGAACCCUGAUCCAGCCAUGCCGCGUGAGUGAAGAAGGCCUUCGGGUUGUAAAGCUCUUUCAGCCGGAACGAAACGGUCACGGCUAAUACCUGUGACUACUGACGGUACCGGAAGAAGAAGCACCGGCUAACUACGUGCCAGCAGCCGCGGUAAUACGUAGGGUGCGAG
rnacentral:rRNA from 1 species